AGAGUUUGAUCCUGGCUCAGGAUGAACGCUAGCGGCAGGCCUAAUACAUGCAAGUCGAACGAGAUUUUAUCUUUCGGGAUAAAUGACAGUGGCGCACGGGUGCGUAACGCGUAUGCAACCUACCCUUAACUGGGGGAUAGCCCGGAGAAAUUCGGAUUAAUACCCCAUAGUAUCACCAGAUGGCAUCUGAAGGUGAUUAAAGAUUUAUUGGUUAAGGAUGGGCAUGCGUGACAUUAGCUAGUUGGUGAGGUAACGGCUCACCAAGGCAACGAUGUCUAGGGGUUCUGAGAGGAUGAUCCCCCACACUGGUACUGAGAUACGGACCAGACUCCUACGGGAGGCAGCAGUAGGGAAUAUUGGUCAAUGGGCGAGAGCCUGAACCAGCCAUGCCGCGUGCAGGAAGACGGCCUUCUGGGUUGUAAACUGCUUUUAUACAGGAACAAAAAGGCCAUGCGUGGCAAACUGAGUGUACUGUAUGAAUAAGCACCGGCUAACUCCGUGCCAGCAGCCGCGGUAAUACGGAGGGUGCAAGCGUUGUCCGGAUUUAUUGGGUUUAAAGGGUGCGUAGGUGGUCGAUUAAGUCAGUGGUGAAAGCCCAUAGCUCAACUAUGGAACUGCCAUUGAUACUGAUUGACUUGAGUACAGAUGAGGUAGGCGGAAUUUAUGGUGUAGCGGUGAAAUGCAUAGAUACCAUAAAGAACACCGAUAGCGAAGGCAGCUUACUAAACUGUAACUGACACUGAGGCACGAAAGCGUGGGGAGCGAACAGGAUUAGAUACCCUGGUAGUCCACGCCGUAAACGAUGAUUACUCGCUGUUAGCGAUAUACAGUUAGCGGCCAAGCGAAAGCAUUAAGUAAUCCACCUGGGGAGUACGCCGGCAACGGUGAAACUCAAAGGAAUUGACGGGGGUC
rnacentral:rRNA from 1 species